rnacentral:miRNA from 2 species
CCAUGUCUUCCUUGCAUUCAAUA